CCGCGUGAGUGAAGAAGGCCUUCGGGUUGUAAAGCUCUUUCGGACGGGAAGAAAUGGCGGGCUCUAACAUAGCCUGUCGAUGACGGUACCGUAAGAAGAAGCACCGGCUAACUACGUGCCAGCAGCCGCGGUAAUA
rnacentral:rRNA from 1 species